UCCUCUUUAGCUCAGUCGGUAGAGCGACGGACUGUUAAUCCGCAGGUCGUUGGUUCGAGUCCAACAAGGGGAGCCA
rnacentral:tRNA from 1 species